rnacentral:tRNA from 1 species
GGUAAGAUGGCCGAGUAGGCGGCAGGGUUGUAGCCCUGGAGACAAAGGUUAAAGUCCUUUUCUUAUCA